AUCUCCAAUACCACCCUGAAUGCGCCCAAUUUCAUCUGAUCUAGGAAGCUACGCCCAACUAGGGUUAGGCCUAGUUAGUAUUUAGAUGGGAGAAAGCCAGGCCCCUGUAGACC
rnacentral:rRNA from 10 species